rnacentral:tRNA from 1 species
GGUUAUGGCUCAGUGGUAGAGCGCUUGCCUAGCAUGUGUGAGGCACUGGGUUUGAUUCUCAGCACCA